UAGUACGAAGCUAAGUUUGCCGAGUUGUCUCGGUUUGCGUCCCACUUGGUUGAUAAUGAGGAGAGAAUGACGCGGAUGUUUCUAAGAGGUUUGAAACCCGAGAAAUGUCAAUACCUAAUUUCUCACAAACUGUGUUUGUAUUUAGAUGUUGUGAAUAGGGCUCAGUUAUUGGAGCGCGAUAAUGAGUCAACCCAACCAAGAGAGAACAACCGACAAGUCGAUAAUACCAGUGGUAGCUGUCAUCGAAGCGGUGACAACAAGCGUGGAGGGAAUCAACAUGCCAGAAAUGAUAAUCACUUCGGUGGUAAUCAUGGCCAUGACAAUAAGAGUGGACAUUUCAAGAAGAGGAGAUUCAACAAGGAUAGAAAGACGUCAGCACCA
rnacentral:lncRNA from 1 species